rnacentral:rRNA from 1 species
GAUGAACGCUGGCGGCGUGCUUAACACAUGCAAGUCGAACGUGAGAGGUAGCAAUAUCUUGAAAGUGGCGAACGGGUGAGUAACACGUAGGUAACCUGCCUCGGAGUGGGGGAUAACAGUUAGAAAUGACUGCUAAUACCGCAUGAAUCCAUGGAUUGGGGACAAUCGGUGGAGAAAACUCUGGUGCUUCGAGAGGGGCCUGCGGCCGAUUAGCUAGUUGGUGGGGUAAAGGCCUACCAAGGCGACGAUCGGUAGCUGGUCUGAGAGGACGAUCAGCCACACGGGAACUGAGACACGGUCCCGACUCCUACGGGGGGCGAGCAGUGAGGAAUAUUGGGCAAUGGGCGGAAGCCUGACCCAGCAACGCCGCGUGGAGGAAGACGGCCUUCGGUU